rnacentral:rRNA from 1 species
GACGAACGCUGGCGGCGUGCUUAACACAUGCAAGUCGAACGGAAAGGCCCUGCUUUUGUGGGGUGCUCGAGUGGCGAACGCGUGAGUAACACGUGUGUAACCUGCCCUUGACUUUGGGAUAUCUUCAGGAAACUGGGGCUAAUACCGGAUAGGAGCUCCUGCUGCAUGGUGUGGGUUGGUAAGUUUCGGCGGUUGGGGAUGUACUCGCUGCUUAUCCGCUUGUUGGUGGGGUAGUGGCUUACCAAGGCUUUGACGGGUAGCCGGCCUGUGAGGGUGAACGGCCAAAAGGGGACUAAGAGACGGACCAGAAGGGAACGGGAGGCAGCAGGGGGGAAUAUGGCAGAAUGGGGGGAAGCGUGAGGCAGCAACGCCGGGAGCGGGAAGACGGCCUUCGGGGUGAAAACAGAUGUGGACUGAGACGAAGAGUGAGUGACGGUAAUGGGUAAAGAAGCACCGGCUAACUACGUG